rnacentral:rRNA from 1 species
CUACAGGCUUAACACAUGCAAGUCGAGGGGAAACGAUAUUGGAAGCUUGCUUCCGAUAGGCGUCGACCGGCGCACGGGUGAGUAACGCGUAUCCAACCUGCCCACCACUUGGGGAUAACCUUGCGAAAGUAAGACUAAUACCCAAUGAUAUCUCUAGGAGACAUCUGAAAGAGAUUAAAGAUUUAUCGGUGAUGGAUGGGGAUGCGUCUGAUUAGCUUGUUGGCGGGGUAACGGCCCACCAAGGCAACGAUCAGUAGGGGUUCUGAGAGGAAGGUCCCCCACAUUGGAACUGAGACACGGUCCAAACUCCUACGGGAGGCAGCAGUGAGGAAUAUUGGUCAAUGGACGAGAGUCUGAACCAGCCAAGUAGCGUGCAGGAAGACGGCCCUAUGGGUUGUAAACUGCUUUUAUAAGGGAAUAAAGUGAGUCUCGUGAGACUUUUUGCAUGUACCUUAUGAAUAAGGACCGGCUAAUUCCGUGCCAGCAGCCGCGGUAAUACGGAAGGUCCGGGCGUUAUCCGGAUUUAUUGGGUUUAAAGGGAGCGUAGGCCGGAGAUUAAGCGUGUUGUGAAAUGUAGACGCUCAACAUCUGCACUGCAGCGCGAACUGGUUUCCUUGAGUACGCACAAAGUGGGCGGAAUUCGUGGUGUAGCGGUGAAAUGCUUAGAUAUCACGAAGAACUCCGAUUGCGAAGGCAGCUCACUGGAGCGCAACUGACGCUGAAGCUCGAAAGUGCGGGUAUCGAACAGGAUUAGAUACCCUGGUAGUCCGCACGGUAAACGAUGGAUGCCCGCUGUUGGUCUGAAUAGGUCAGCGGCCAAGCGAAAGCAUUAAGCAUCCCACCUGGGGAGUACGCCGGCAACGGUGAAACUCAAAGGAAUUGACGGGGGCCCGCACAAGCGGAGGAACAUGUGGUUUAAUUCGAUGAUACGCGAGGAACCUUACCCGGGCUUGAAUUGCAGAGGAAGGAUUUGGAGACAAUGACGCCCUUCGGGGCCUCUGUGAAGGUGCUGCAUGGUUGUCGUCAGCUCGUGCCGUGAGGUGUCGGCUUAAGUGCCAUAACGAGCGCAACCCCUCUCCUUAGUUGCCAUCAGGUCAAGCUGGGCACUCUGGGGACACUGCCACCGUAAGGUGUGAGGAAGGUGGGGAUGA